GCUCAGGAUGAACGCUGGCGGCGUGCCUAAUACAUGCAAGUCGAACGAAGCGAUUUGGGAAAUUUAUUUUUCAGAUUGACUGAGUGGCAAACGGGUGAGUAAGACAUAAGUAAUCUGCCGUAAAGACUGGGAUAACUUUGAGAAAUUAAAGCUAAGACCGGAUAGGAAUUAUUGAGGCACCUUAAUAAUUUUAAAGGGGCUUAUGGCCUUGUUAUACGAUGAGCUUAUGGCGCAUUAGCUAGUUGGUAAGGUAAUGGCUUACCAAGGCGAUGAUGCGUAGCCGGCCUGAGAGGGUGACCGGCCACACUGGGACUGAGACACGGCCCAGACUCCUACGGGAGGCAGCAGUAGGGAAUUUUCGGCAAUGGGGGCAACCCUGACCGAGCGACGCCGCGUGAGUGAAGACGGUCUUCGGAUUGUAAAGCUCUGUUAUCAGGGAAGAAUAAGGUUAUCAGGAAAUGGAUAAUCGAUGACGGUACCUGAUCAGAAAGCCACGGCUAACUACGUGCCAGCAGCCGCGGUAAUACGUAGGUGGCGAGCGUUAUCCGGAAUUAUUGGGCGUAAAGGGUGCGUAGGCGGUUAUUUAAGUUUAAGGUUAAAGUUCAGGGCUCAACCCUGUGAUGCCUUAGAAACUGGAUAGCUAGAGUACAGGAGAGGUUAGUGGAAUUCCAUGUGUAGCGGUAAAAUGCGUAGAUAUAUGGAGGAACACCAGUGGCGAAGGCGGCUAACUGGCCUGUAACUGACGCUCAGGCACGAAAGCGUGGGGAGAAAAUAGGAUUAGAUACCCUAGUAGUCCACGCCGUAAACGAUGAAUACUAAGUGUUGGGGUAAAACUCAGUGCUGCAGUUAACGCAAUAAGUAUUCCGCCUGGGGAGUAUGCGCGCAAGCGUAAAACUCAAAGGAAUUGACGGGGGCCCGCACAAGCGGUGGAGUAUGUGGUUUAAUUCGAGGCAACGCGAAGAACCUUACCAGGUCUUGACAUGGAGCUAAAGGCCCUAGAGAUAGGGAGAUAGUUAUAGCUCACACAGGUGGUGCAUGGUUGUCGUCAGCUCGUGUCGUGAGAUGUUGGGUUAAGUCCCGCAACGAGCGCAACCCUUAUUGUUAGUUGCCAUCAUUAAGUUGGGCACUCUAGCGAGACUGCCCGGGUUAACCGGGAGGAAGGUGGGGAUGACGUCAAAUCAUCAUGCCCCUUAUGUCUAGGGCUACACACGUGCUACAAUGGUCGGUACAAUAAGACGCAAGCCCGCGAGGGGGAGCAAAACUGGAAAACCGAUCUCAGUUCGGAUUGUAGGCUGAAACUCGCCUACAUGAAGCUGGAGUUGCUAGUAAUCGCGAAUCAGCAUGUCGCGGUGAAUAAGUUCCCGGGCCUUGCACACACCGCCCGUCAA
rnacentral:rRNA from 1 species